rnacentral:rRNA from 1 species
AUUGAACGCUGGCGGAAUGCUUUACACAUGCAAGUCGAACGGUAGAGGGGGCAACCCCUCGAGAGUGGCGAACGGGUGAGUAAUAUAUCGGAACGUGCCCAGUCGUGGGGGAUAACGUAGCGAAAGUUACGCUAAUACCGCAUACGAUAUAAGGAUGGAAGCGGGGGAUCGCAAGACCUCGCUCGAUUGGAGCGGCCGAUAUCAGAUUAGGUAGUUGGUGGGGUAAAGGCUCACCAAGCCAACGAUCUGUAGCUGGUCUGAGAGGACGACCAGCCACACUGGAACUGAGACACGGUCCAGACUCCUACGGGAGGCAGCAGUGGGGAAUUUUGGACAAUGGACGCAAGUCUGAUCCAGCCAUUCCGCGUGCAGGAUGAAGGCCCUCGGGUUGUAAGCUGCUUUUGUACGGAACGAAAAGGUCUCUCUUAAUACGGGGGGCUCAUGACGGUACCGUAAGAAUAAGCACCGGCUAACUACGUGCCAGCCGCCGCCGUAA